GGUCUUGUAACUCAGUUGGUUAGAGUGUUGGUCUUAUGAGCCAAAAGUUGUGGGUUCAAGCCCCACCAAAACCA
rnacentral:tRNA from 1 species